UCUACGGGAGGCUGCAGUGGGGAAUAUUGGACAAUGGGCGAAAGCCUGAUCCAGCCACGCCGCGUGUGUGAAGAAGGCCUUCGGGUUGUAAAGCACUUUCAGUGGGGAAGAAAGCCUUGGGGCUAAUACCCUCGAGGAAGGACAUCACCCACAGAAGAAGCACCGGCUAACUCCGUGCCAGCAGCCGCGGUAAUACGGAGGGUGCGAGCGUUAAUCGGAAUUACUGGGCGUAAAGCGCGCGUAGGCGGUCUGAUAAGCCGGUUGUGAAAGCCCCGGGCUCAACCUGGGAACGGCAUCCGGAACUGUCAGGCUAGAGUGCAGGAGAGGAAGGUAGAAUUCCCGGUGUAGCGGUGAAAUGCGUAGAGAUCGGGAGGAAUACCAGUGGCGAAGGCGGCCUUCUGGACUGACACUGACGCUGAGGUGCGAAAGCGUGGGUAGCAAACAGGAUUAGAUACCCUUGUAGUC
rnacentral:rRNA from 1 species